GCGAAUUCCGUGCCGGUGUCGGCGGUAAGACGGAGGGUGCAAGGGUUAUCCGGUGUUAUUUGGGUUAAAGGGUCCGUAGGCGGAACUAUAAGUCAGUGGUGAAAUCUCACAGCUUAACUGUGAAACUGCCGUUGAUACUGUAGGUCUUGAGAAAAUUUGAAGUGGCUGGAAUAAGUAGUGUAGCGGUGAAAUGCAUAGAUAUUACUUAGAACACCAAUUGCGAAGGCAGGUCACUAAGAUUUAACUGACGCUGAGGGACGAAAGCGUGGGGAGCGAACAGGAUUAGAUACCCGUGUAGUC
rnacentral:rRNA from 1 species